AUUGCUUCUCAGCCUUUUGGCUAAGAUCAAGUGUAACUUUUUAAUUACAAUACCUACUUUCUUUUUUUUUUUUCUAUGAAUUAAUUCACAGGCUUUUAUUGGGAUUUCACUCCCGGGUGAGGUUCCCCAG
ensembl:snRNA U2 U2 spliceosomal RNA